UACGUAGGUGGCGAGCGUUUGUCCGGAUUUACUGGGCGUAAAGAGCGCGCAGGUGGUCGUUCAAGUCGCGUGUGAAAGCCCCCGGCUCAACUGGGGAGGGUCACGCGAUACUGAUCGACUCGAAGGCAGGAGAGGGAAGUGGAAUUCCCGGUGUAGUGGUGAAAUGCGUAGAUAUCGGGAGGAACACCAGUGGCGAAGGCGACUUCCUGGCCUGUUCUUGACGCUGAGGCGCGAAAGCUAGGGGAGCGAACAGG
rnacentral:rRNA from 1 species